CCAGACUCCUACGGGAGGCAGCAGUGGGGGAUAUUGCACAAUGGGGGAAACCCUGAUGCAGCGACGCCGCGUGGGUGAAGAAGCGCCUCGGCGCGUAAAGCCCUGUCAGCAGGGAAGAAAAUGACGGUACCUGGGGAGGAAGCUCCGGCUAACUACGUGCCAGCAGCCGCGGUAAUACGUAGGGAGCAAGCGUUGUCCGGAAUUACUGGGUGUAAAGGGAGCGUAGGCGGGGAUGCAAGUUGGGUGUCAAAACUAUCGGCUCAACCGAUAGUCGCACUCAAAACUGCAGCUCUUGAGUGAAGUAGAGGCAGGCGGAAUUCCUAGUGUAGCGGUGAAAUGCGUAGAUAUUAGGAGGAACACCAGUGGCGAAGGCGGCCUGCUGGGCUUUUACUGACGCUGAGGCUCGAAAGUGUGGGGAGCAAACAGGAUUAGAUACCCCAGUA
rnacentral:rRNA from 1 species